CCUCCUGCCUUCAGCCUCCUGCCUCCUGCCUUCAGCCUCCUGCCUCCCGUCUCCAGCCUCCAGCCUUCAGCCUUCAGCCUCCUGCAAACCAGCCUCCUGCGUGCAAUCUUCUGCCUUCACCCUCCAGCUUCCUGCCUCCAGCCUACCUCCAACCUCCUGCCUUCAGCCUCCUGCCUCCAGUCUCUAGCCUCCUGCCUGAAGUCUCCUACCUCCAGCCUCCAGCCUCCUGCCUUCAGCCUCCUGCCUCCAGCCUCCUGCCUGCAAUCUUCUGCCUUCACCCUCCAGCUUCCUGCCUCCAGCCUACCUCCAACCUCCUGCCUUCAGCCUCCUGCCUUCAGCCUCCUGCCUCCAGUCUCUAGCCUCCUGCCUUCAGCCUCCUGCCUCCUGCCUUCAGCCUCCUGCCUCCCGUCUCCAGCCUCCAGCCUUCAGCCUUCAGCCUCCUGCAAACCAGCCUCCUGCCUGCAAUCUUCUGCCUUCACCCUCCUGCCUCCUGCCUCCUGCCUCCAGCCUCCUGCCUUCAGCCUCCUGCCUCCAGCCUCCUGCCUGCAAUCUUCUGCCUUCACCCUCCAGCUUCCUGCCUCCAGCCUACCUCCAACCUCCUGCCUUCAGCCUCCUGCCUUCAGCCUCCUGCCUCCAGUCUCUAGCCUCCUGCCUGAAGUCUCCUACCUCCAGCCUUCAGUCUCCUGCCUCCAGCCUCCUGCCCUCAACCUCCUGCCUCCAGCCUCCUGCCUUCAGCCUCCUAUCUUCAGCCUCCUGCCUUUACCCUCCCACCUCCAGACUCCUGCCUUCAGCCUCCUGCCUCCAGCCUCGUCACUUACUCCUUACACACAACUUGCCCCAGGCUCCUUCUGUGUCCCAAAGCCACCAAACCCAUUCCUGCCUCAGUGCCUUUGCACUUGCUGUUCCCUGCAGGGAAACCCUUCCCUCACAUGCCGGAAUUGCUUACUCCCAGGUAUCAUUGUGGUCUCCGUUCUGAUGUCACCUUCCCUAAGCAGCUCUGUCCCGCCUUGUUGCCUGGCUGUACUUCAUAGUGCCUUCCCCUUCAGCCCUCAGCACGUGGGCACGAUGUCUCCUUCAGGCUAUAUUUAUUCACUCGUUGUCACCCCACACACACACACCGGUCCCACUGUGCACUGCCCUCCCCCUGCACUUCCCCUCUGGGACCCCCCACCCCACCAGUAUCUGACGAGAGGCCACCCUCUCUGCUAG
rnacentral:lncRNA from 1 species